rnacentral:rRNA from 1 species
AGCGAACGCUGGCGGCAGGCCUAACACAUGCAAGUCGAACGGAUCCUUCGGGAUUAGUGGCGGACGGGUGAGUGACACGUGGGAACGUGCCCUUUGGUUCGGAACAACUCAGGGAAACUUGAGCUAAUACCGGAUGUGCCCUUCGGGGGAAAGAUUUAUCGCCAUUGGAGCGGCCCGCGUCUGAUUAGCUAGUUGGUGGGGUAAAGGCCCACCAAGGCGACGAUCAGUAGCUGGUCUGAGAGGAUGAUCAGCCACAUUGGGACUGAGGCACGGCCCAAACUCCUACGGGAGGCAGCAGUGGGGAAUCUUGCGCAAUGGGCGAAAGCCUGACGCAGCCAUGCCGCGUGAAUGAUGAAGGUCUUAGGAUUGUAAAAUUCUUUCACCGGGGACGAUAAUGACGGUACCCGGAGAAGAAGCCCCGGCUAACUUCGUGCCAGCCGCCGCCGUAA